rnacentral:rRNA from 1 species
AUACGGAGGAUGCGAGCGUUAUCCGGAUUUAUUGGGUUUAAAGGGUGCGUAGGCGGCCUUGUAAGUCAGCGGUGAAAUUUUGCAGCUUAACUGUAAAAGUGCCGUUGAUACUGUGAGGCUAGGAUUUGGUUGCUGUGGGUGGAAUGUGUGGUGUAGCGGUGAAAUGCUUAGAGAUCACACAGAAUAUCGAUUGCGAAGGCAGCGCACAAAGCCAAGAUUGACGCUGAGGCACGAAAGUGUGGGGAUCAAACAGGAUUAGAUACCCUGGUAGUCCACGCCGUAAACGAUGGGCGCUCGUCGUCGGCGACAGACAGUCGGCGGCCAAGCGAAAGCGAUAAGCGCCCCACCUGGGGAGUACGGUCGCAAGGUUGAAACUCAAAGGAAUUGACGGGG